CCGCUCUAGAAUGCCCAUCAUUAGUUGUUCCUCUUUACAGCAAGGUCAACAAGAAAAGCAGGCAAGAUCGAAGUGCAACGCAACAAUGUUUUAAUAUCGAUGAUCUUCGACCAGAUGGUGCAGAAUGUAUUGAUGACGACCCAUUGAACAGCUAUUUAAAAGAGUCAAUAAUCAGCC